rnacentral:ncRNA from 2 species
CGCAACCUUGUUGGGAGAAUCCGGCACGAGAUGCCGGUGCCGAAGGAGCAACCGCCCCGGAAACUCUCAGGCAAAAGGACCACAAGGGGCAG